GAAGUCACGGCAGCUGCAGCAGGAGGGAAGCUCCGCUGAUGUCUACGAUAUAGAGCAGGCUGAAGGGGAUGAAAUGAGAAGGACUUUACAGCUGUGUAUGUUCAGCAGAGGAUGAGAAGGCUUUUCGACACAACGGAGCCUGAUCUACCAAAGGUUUGCAUGUACUAAAACACCUGCAACCUUGAUAGCACGCGCAAAGCUGGUCUACUAAACCCAUGCAAAGGUGUAUAUGAAGCGGCCACGGAUCAUUUUUGGCGACGUACCUGUCUGGAAGCAGCGCUAACUGUCCCAAGUCGGGGUGGACCACACCUCUAUGUAUCAGUGGUGACGUCUCUCCGUUGUCGACUUGUCUACAUGGAAGAAGAUCCCCAUCCAACCCUCUGCUGGCUUCCCGAUGGACUGGAUUCUCACAUCAUCAUGAAUGCGGAGCCGACAGUCCGACGGCGAGGCGGGUCACACUGGAGCCCUGCCCAAGAUGAUGGCGAGGAGACGGAGAUGACAACCGAACGGAGAGGCGGGGCAUACCGGGAGCGACGCCGCAAUCAGAUUCAGGUGCGUGGAUUGCAGACCGGGAUACUGUAUCUGCUUACACUGUAUAAAAGGGUAAGAAAGAGGAGGGAUCGAAGCAGAAGGAAGUGGAGUGUCCGCAGCAGUGGCUGGAGAGAAGCAGACAGCAAGACACGACAGACAAGGAGUGACCACGGAGCACGAGCAGUGGGAGCGACGAAGGCGAAAAAGACAUCUAUUAUUGAAAAAUAAAAGAGUCAAACCUGCUAAAGCGAUGUCCUUCCUGGGUGGUCAGUGGAACCCGAGCGGCGACAGGGAAAGUCGUCCACAAUGCCUUUUUUUUAAGUUUGUGGGCAUACUUUUAUUUUGAAGUGUCUCGUUUGGUCUGUCGUCUGAUAUAAGGAAGCUACUUUGGGUAUAAGUAAACAUUUUUGAUGCAAUGAGAAGGGAGAAAGACUGACUGUCACAAAGACUCAAAAGUGUCACAACGACUUUAAGCGCUUGGGCUAUAAGAGCCUGAAGAUCACAAUUUCCUCCUAAAAGAAGCAUGCAGGCCAAGGAGGUAUUUGUUUGUCAAUUCUGUGUGUAUUAUACUUUGGUAAAAUGUUUGAUCCACAUGCUAUGCAUGUUGUUACUUUUACCUUUGUAACGUGCUUUAUUUUAUUUCAGUUUUCACGGUGAAUUUGAAGGGAAGGGAUGCCUUCAAAUAAAUCAGUUCAAGAAA